rnacentral:rRNA from 1 species
CGGAGGAUCCAAGCGUUAUCCGGAUUUAUUGGGUUUAAAGGGUGCGUAGGCGGCUUAUUAAGUCAGGGGUGAAAGACGGUGGCUCAACCAUCGCAGUGCCUUUGAUACUGAUGAGCUUGAAUAAACUUGAGGUAGGCGGAAUGUGACAAGUAGCGGUGAAAUGCAUAGAUAUGUCACAGAACACCAAUUGCGAAGGCAGCUUACUAAGGUUUUAUUGACGCUGAGGCACGAAAGCGUGGGGAUCAAACAGGAUUAGAUACCCUGGUAGUCCACGCCCUAAACGAUGAAUACUCGAUGUUAGCGAUAUACAGUUAGCGUCUAAGCGAAAGCGUUAAGUAUUCCACCUGGGGAGUACGCCCGCAAGGGUG